CCUACGGGAGGCUGCAGUGAGGAAUAUUGGUCAAUGGGCGAGAGCCUGAACCAGUCAAGUCGCGUGAAUGAUGACGGCCCUCCGGGUUGUAAACUUCUUUUGUCAGGGAGCAAUUGGGUCCACGCGUGGGCUUAGCGAGAGUACCUGACGAAAAAGCAUCGGCUAACUCCGUGCCAGCCGCCGCGGUAAUACCGAGGAUGCGGGCGUUAUCCGGAUUUAUUGGCUUAAAAGUGUGCGUAGGCGGAAAAUCAAGUCAGCGAGAAAAAUUCGGGGCUAAACCGCGUCGUGCCGUUGAAACUGGUGUUCUUGAGUGGGCGAGAGGUAUGCGGAAUGCGUGGUGUAGCGGUGAAAUGCAUAGAUA
rnacentral:rRNA from 1 species